rnacentral:rRNA from 1 species
GUUCCAGCCGCCGCGGUAAUACGGGGGGGCAAGCGUUGUUCGGAAUUACUGGGCGUAAAGGGCUCGUAGGCGGCCAACUAAGUCGGACGUGAAAUCCCUCGGCUUAACCGGGGAACUGCGUCCGAUACUGGAUGGCUUGAGUUUGGGAGAGGGAUGCGGAAUUCCAGGUGUAGCGGUGAAAUGCGUAGAUAUCUGGAGGAACACCGGUGGCGAAGGCGGCAUCCUGGACCAACACUGACGCUGAUGAGCGAAAGCCAGGGGAGCAAACGGGAUUAGAUACCCGUGUAGUCC